rnacentral:rRNA from 1 species
AUACGUAGGGGGCGAGCGUUGUCCGGAAUGACUGGGCGUAAAGGGCGUGUAGGCGGCGGUGUAAGUCUGGAGUGAAAGUCUCGCAUUCAAUGUGGGAAUUGCUUUGGAUACUGCAGUGCUAGAGUGCGGAAGAGGUAAGUGGAAUUCCCAGUGUAGCGGUGAAAUGCGUAGAUAUUGGGAGGAACACCUGUGGCGAAGGCGGCUCUCUGACGCACAACUGACACUGAGGCGCGAAGGCGGGGGGAGCAAACAGGAUUAGAUCCCCUGGUAGUCCACGCAGUAAAAGGUGAUUACUAGGUGUAGGGCAUAGACGGUUUGUGUGCCAGAGAAAACGCUAUAAAUACCCCGUCGGGGGAGCACUGCCAAAAGGGUGAAACACAAAGGAAUUGACGG